AUUCACAGAAGACUCCUCAUCAGUUAGGGCUCCAGGAGAGGGGUUAGAACCACUACAUGGGAUAGAGAAUCAGAGAUUUAUUAUCGGGGCUCCAGGCUCACGAUUGCAGGGACUGGCUAGGCUCGUCAGUCAGCUCAAGGCUGUUGAUGCUGGAUGUGGAGUCAGCAAGGCAGGCAGUAGGGAAGGAGAAAUGGGCACAAAGUGGGAAAACAAUGACAGACUGCUACCAGCGAGGACAAACCAGAGCCCGUUCGGGCCUCUCACUGCUUCCAGGCGAUGAUGCGAAUGAGCUGCAAGGCACACAGGCCUUCCCAUGUUGCUCCACAGGUCAGUCUGGGAUUCGGAGGAGCUGCAAGAGGAGGGCUGAUGGGAACUGGUUUGCGGAGGGCUCAGCUGCUGCCCCAUCACAACAGGCUAAAGACUUGCCCACCACCAAGGCACUUAGACAUCGGCAGUGAACCUGAGCCAGAAGACUGCCUAUUAGUGCUCCCCACUGAACCCCACUCUCAGUGGGGGCCCUGGACAACACUUUUACCCACUGGAAGCUCUUUUCUAAAAGGAGAGAUGUGAACUGAAGUCAUAGCCAAAUCUCUAGAGUCAUAUCAGACCUUAACACUUCCUAGCAAUUACCAGGAGACGAAAGGGCCACAGGAAUUUUCAUCCCAGUGAAAGCCAAAACAGAAAACAGUCGGUAUAAGGACCAAGUGGAGAGCCCUUGGCAAAUUCAAACGAGCUGCACAAACAUUGGGAGCUACAGCGAUGUUGAACUACUCCCAGAAGUCGCACUUCUAGACCGUGCUGUACCACUCAUGGCUCCCUCCAUGGCCUAGAAACUCAGAGCAGCACACACCCCUUGAGCAUCUACCAAGGUCUAGGUUCAAUGAGAGUCAUCGGAAGUACGGAGAUGAACGUAACACUUCCUUUUCCUUGGACAGCCUGGUGGGGAAGGAGGGAGGGUAAGAAAAAGACACUGCAUCAUUGAGCGCAUAAUUAUUGCACGUCUAAAAUCCAGUCCCUUCGUAACUAUUGAGGGCCACUUGCGGACCAGGCAUUGAGAAUUCUUUGUCGUUGGGUAUUGUUUUAGCUCGGGUAGGCUAAUGUAAUGACUCCACACCAAACACAUUAAUUUCUUGUUCUCCAGCAGAGGCUGCAACAAACAAGUUCAAGGUCCCAAGGUGAGGCUUUCUGGCAUGUGGAGAACAGAGCAAAGGCCAGUGUGGUGGGAGUGUUGUGAAGAAGGGGAGAACUUUGGAGAACCGAGGGCAGAGAAGAUAGGGAUGGGCCGGAUCCUGUAGCAUCUCAGAAGCCAAGUAAAGAAUUUGGAUUUUAAAGAAUAAAUUGUGUUUCAAGAUUCAUGGUGAUCAAUGAGGAAAGGAGGUGUCUUGGGCUUGUUCAUCCUCCGAUCCAUUCGUCCACUGACUGCUUUUCUCCAGCUCUGCUCUGCGCUGCGGGAGGGCUGACCCCUGCAUAUCCCAGGCUCCCACGGCAGCUAGCUGCUGUCUGGGAACCGCCAGUGGGAGGCCUUGGCAGGAGAUUCGAGGUCGGGAGAAAGGGGGAUACCAGGGUAUCUCUCUCCUCCUUUCUGCCUCAGAAGCAUCUACAUCAGGUCUCUGUCCCACCCAUGGCCCCAGCUCCUGCUGGAUAGGCCCACCAUGGUCCAUCUUCCACUGGGUGACCCUGACUUCUGCAUUCUGGUACUAUGGCCUCCUCUCUGUGUCCGUCUGGCCCAGCCUAGUAGCAACCCCUGCUAUUGCUAAUAGAUGGAUUGACUUUUCAACUUCUAUCACCUCUACGGCCAGUGACCUGCAUUAGAUUCCCUGUGUUUAGACUCAUAGAGUUGUUUGUCUCCCUGGUUGGACCCCGAUGACCGAUACAUGGUACAAACCACAUGCUGUGGGAAUGUUCCCUUGGCGCCUGGCUCAUGGCAAGUCCACAGUGACUGUCUUAGUUUCCUACUGCUGUAUAACAACACAGAUAUUACAGUUCUAGAGGUCAGAAGUCUGAAUCGGCCUCACUGGGCUACUAUCAAGGAAGCUCCUGGGAAGAAUCCAUUUUCUUGCCUUUUUCAGAUUUCCCGGCCCAUAUUCCUUGGUCCAUGGCCCCGUACUACAUCUUCAUAGCCAGCAACGGCAGGUUGAGUCUUUCUCUUGAUGCCACCACUCUGGUCCUGACUCUUCCGCCUCCCUCUUCCCUAUUUGGGGACCUUUGUGAUUCCAUUGUGGCCACAUGGAUCAUCCUGGAUAGUUUCUAUGUUUUAACGUCUGCUGAUCAGCCAGCUUCAUUCCAUCUGCAACUGUAAUCCCCCUCACUGCAUAAUAUAACAUGGUCACAGGUCCUGGGUAUUCGUAUGUGGAUAUCUUGGGGGAGCCAUUACUCUGCCUGCUGCAGUGACUGAGCCGAGGCAGAGUGUGGGGAGGAAGACUAUGGAGGCUUGCUCAAGGGGAUAGCAGCCUGGUGCCUUAUACUGCACACAGUGAGGACUCAAUGCCCAUGUACUGAAUUAAACACAGGAACUGCGGCGCCCCAGGGAGAACAUUUGCAUCCUCCAGUUCGGAGGGUCUCUCCAGAGAUGCCUGAAGCACAGCUCGCUGUUGGAAAGCCCUCAGUGUGUUCUUGCCUGCCAUGCUUGGGAUGCGACGCCGGGACACAGCUCUUGUUCGUCUCUCACCCAGGAUGGCACGUAGGUUUCUUGUUUUCCCAGAGAAAGGUUCAUUUCAGAGAGGGGAGUGGGUGAAGGCAAACUGUUGGCUGCGGCACGUGAGGCCCAUCAGUUCCAAUUCGGGGACAACUGGAGUUGAUGCAGGCGUUCCAUCCAAAUGUAAUCAAACGCCUCCUGUUGCCAGACGACGUGUUAUUCAGUGGGGGGCUGGCGGGGGGUGUUGUGAAUCCGAGAUGCCUUCUGUAACUUCCUCAGAUGGGUACUGGGAGGAGAGGAAAGAGAGCAGAUAGAAAUUCACUUCACUGGUAAAUAAACUUUCACACUGUAGCCUGA